rnacentral:rRNA from 1 species
AGGAUUAACGCUGGCGGCAUGCCUGACACAUGCAAGUCGAACGAGGCCGCAAGGCCGAGUGGCGGACGGGUGAGUAACACGUGACCAACCAACCUCGAAGUUGGGAAUAGCUCUGCGAAAGUAGGGGUAAUACCGAAUGUGGCCCAGGGCGGGCAUCCGCCUUGGUCUAAAGAUUCAUCGCUUCGAGACGGGGUCGCGGCCUAUUAGCUUGUUGGUGAGGUAACGGCUCACCAAGGCGAUGAUGGGUAGCUGGUCUGAGAGGACGACCAGCCACACUGGGACUGAGACACGGCCCAGACUCCUACGGGAGGCAGCAGUGAGGAAUCUUCCGCAAUGGGCGAAAGCCUGACGGAGCAACGCCGCGUGUGGGAUGAAGACUCUAGGGUUGUAAACCACUGUCGGAGGGGACGAUCGUGACGGUACCCCAACGAAAGACCCGGCUAACUACGUGCCAGCAGCCGC